rnacentral:lncRNA from 1 species
CACUUCAAAAUAGAAAAUUGAAUAUUUAAGCAGAAGACCAUAACUUGUAAAAUUGGAAUCAAUUCAAAAUAGAGUACAAUUAGGUCCAGACAAAUGCUCAAGUUACCAAUGAUUAAGGUCCUGACAAUAGAGUGAAUUGCAAUCCCUUGACAAAAUGGGAAUUUAAUGAGUCCCCAUUGACGGUAGGACAAAGAUUGUUAGUUCUGUUGUCAUUAUUUUGUGAAUAAUGAUGGUCUUCAUUGUAGUCAGAGGUAAAAUUUCAAGUUAUGAUUGGUUAAAUUUAAAUCCAUAUAAGAAACAAU